rnacentral:rRNA from 1 species
GACGAACGCUGGCGGCGUGCUUAACACAUGCAAGUCGAACGAUGAAGAAGAGAAACGCGAACUUCGGUUCAAAUUUCACUUCGGAUUAGUGGCAGACGGGUGAGUAACGCGUGAGCAACCUACCUCUUACAAAGGGAUAGCCUCGGGAAACCGUGAUUAAUACCAUAUGACACAUUCAUAAGGCAUCUUAAGAAUGGUAAAGCUACGGCGGUAAGAGAUGGGCUCGCGUCCCAUUAGCUAGUUGGUGAGGUAACGGCCCACCAAGGCGACGAUGGGUAACCGGCCUGAGAGGGUGAACGGUCACAUUGGAACUGAGACACGGUCCGAACUCCUACGGGAGGCAGCAGUGGGGAAUAUUGCACAAUGGAGGGAACGCUGAUGCAGCGACGCCGCGUGAGCGAUGAAGGAAUUCGUUUCGUAAAGCUCUGUUCUAUGGGAAGAAAAGGACUGUACCAUAGGAGAAAGCCCCGGCUAAAUACGUG